UACGUAGGGUGCGAGCGUUGUCCGGGAUUAUUGGGCGUAAAGAGCUUGUAGGCGGUUUGUCGCGUCUGCCGUGAAAAUUCGAGGCUCAACCUCGAACUUGCGGUGGGUACGGGCAGACUAGAGUGUGGUAGGGGAGACUGGAAUUCCUGGUGUAGCGGUGAAAUGCGCAGAUAUCAGGAGGCACACCGCUGGCGAAGGCAGGUCUCUGGGCCACUACUGACGCUGAGAAGCGAAAGCAUGGGGAGCGAACAGG
rnacentral:rRNA from 1 species